AUUUUCCAUGUAGAAGUCCCAGGCAUACUUGUCCACCACAGUCAUAAAGCAUAAAUGAAGCCAUAAUUGACCACAUAACUUCCCCCGGCCUAAUUACUCAAUACAAAUAGCACAUUUUUUUAUCUGCAUGUGCUAAAGACUAUGGUGUUAAGUAAGAAUAAUUCUUUAAGCCAAUUUUUCCUGCCUCCACUAUAUAGUUUGUUCAACAGCGAGUUGUCAGGGAAACGCUCAGACCACUUGCAUGCAUGGUUGGAGUUAUUUCACAAUGAAUGGACCACCCCAAUCACACACAGGACAACCGUGACAUAGAUUCAUUGUGAAGUAAAAUUCAUGCAUAUUAUAUUAUAUAAUAGCUCUCUCUGCAUGCAUGCGUGAUGCAUCCCAUAAACAAUACAUGCUCAAGUACAGCUUCUCAAAGCUGAAAUCUCAUAAUCAAAAAUAGUAUAUUCCCAUGCAUAUACAUGCACUUUAUGCAUGUAUUGAUGGAGGAUCAAACUGAUAGAGGUUCUAACACGUCACUGGCUGACACUGUGAAGGCUUUCCAGCUCAAGAAACACAAUCGUAAGAAGUUGAACUAUAAAUGUGAAAUUUUCAUUUAGUCCUCCUUGAUCUCCAUACAUAUACUAUACUAUUGGACCAUAGACUAAUAUAAUAUGGUUUGGAUGGCUUUACUCCGUCAGUGCUGGUCACGUCACAACUUACGUCUGAUCCAUUCCUUUUUAAAGCAUGAGCCGGCACCAUUAUGAGGUGGUAUAUGAAUUUGCUCCCCAUCACUUGAGUCAACAGAGGAAACACACACUACUGGGGUACAGUCCAUCCAGUCUAGAGAGUAGAUUAUCACAAAUGUUGAACAAUUAACCUGUUAAUGUAUUAUCUUAGCUAUUAACAUGGAUGAAUUUAUACAUGCAUGUAGUGACAGUGUUGGAUUAUUACAGUUGUGUAUAUGUGAUUAGGAUUGCAUGGCAGAGCAUUUGAAAUGCGUUUGCUUUUUAUCAACAA